CUCGUAGCUCAGCUGGUUAGAGCGCACGCUUGAUAAGCGUGAGGUCGAAGGUUCAAUUCCUUCCGGGCC
rnacentral:tRNA from 1 species